rnacentral:rRNA from 1 species
GCCGGCAGCCAGCUCUCUGCAACUCUCACAUGGUCGCCCACUGAAGCUAAGCAGGGCUGCGCCUGGUCAGUACCUGGAUGGGAGACCACAUGGGAAAGCUAGGUUGCUGCCGGAA